ACAGGGCCCUGAGCUUAGGAAGGCCCUGCAUUCGGAAGGGCCCCAAGCUCGUUUUAAUUCACACCAUCGUCACCACCUUGUAAUUCUCAGGCAUUUUCAAACCAGGGGGCCACAUUUUCUUCUUACCCUGGGCCCUGCAAACUCUAUAGCCGAUCCUGGCGAGGAACCCUGGGCCUCCGGACACCUUGACUUUUCUCUCCAGUUUCCUGAAUGCCGCAGCCAGCUUUCUGGGGUAGGUUUAUUUCCCAUGCAGUGACUCCUUAUAUUUUGUCCAGGGUUUCCAAAAUCAGGGGCCCAAGGACAUUAACCUCAAAAAAUCAAAGCAUAUAUUGGCUGUCCCCCGGGACAGUGGCUGCCUUGUUAGGAGGUGGGUGGGGUCACUGGCACAGCCCUGGCAUUGCUAAAUGGGCUGUUGGCAAAAAGAGGAAACAGGGCUCUGUUCUGUAAAAACAUGCGUGAGCAUUUGCAGUGCUUUUUCUGGAGACUGAAAUCUUUCUGUACACCUCACCAAAUUUUCAGAAGUUUCUUAUGAGGUAAACAAGCAAGUUCCACGCCCCAGUCCUGCUGGGGCCUUCGCCAGCCACCGCUCUGGGCUCAUCUCCCGGCGCCUCCUCGGGGCACCUGAGCGUUUUAAGCCCCACUGCCAAGUGUUUUGGACACAGGUUUUUUUGCGGGGUGGUGAGGUUGGGCACAAGAUGCUUCCUAAAAGGUUGUUGGCACGCAGACCAUGGCCCCAGUGACGGAGCGGUAGGCAGGGGCUUGAGGAACACGCUGUCUUUGUCUCGUCCCCAAAGCACCCGGCCGUGGGUCACCCGUGAUCCCUGGAGUGGAGGGACUGUUGUGACCCCUGGUGCUCCAGGAGAAGGGGUUCCAUGCUGGGUCCCGGGCCCAGGCCCACGGUGCCCUCAGCCUGCAGUUCUCCACCUUGCGGAAUGAUUUGCUGGCCCGGCCCAGCUCCCCGGCACCACCAUUUUCUGCCCUCUUUUCCCUGCCUGGCUUCAAACCCUCCCAGGCAAGGGUCCCGAGGAGACACCUGGGCUGGGGGAGGCAACUGAGUGGCCCCAGGCCUGGGAAUCUGCAAAAGUGGCCAAGCCACAUCUCUCGAGACUGCAAGGGCCCUGGAGGCGCUGGGAGGCACAGAUCUGGCUGCCAGCUGGGCCUGAGGCCUCCCUUUGUCCGUCCUUCCUGUUCUUCCUCACCAGACAUGAUCCUCUCUGAGGUUGGUCCUGGGCUUCCAUACGUGAUUCAUGGAAGAGGUCUCAGCCCCAAGAGCCCCUGAGGGUACUGUCCACUCCCCCUGGAAACUUCCAGAACCUGACGUGGGGCUGAAGACAUAGAGGCUCUGAGAGUUACAUAAUUGAUUCUGACUUUGGCUGUUGGUCAACAGUGUCAUAAGGUAAAAUAAGGCUGUUGUAGAAUCUGCUCAGCCAGGGAGGGGAAAGGAGUCGGCAAUCAGGUCUCCUCCUGGGCACCUUUGUGAGGCCAGCUGGCGAGAGUGGGGGGUGACACUGAGGUCCCAGCAGCUCCAAAUGCAGGCAGAGCCCUGUCCUCAGAGAAGGUCACAGCCUAGCCAAGCCCAGCCAGGUGGAUGGGCCCACGGAACGCACAGGAACCUGGAACGGAGGUUGAAAGCAGGAAGCACAGUCUGUGACUCCCCAGCCCACUCUGCAUUCGACCACUUGGGGCCCAGAAGCUUCAGGAAAGGUGCACAAGGUCACUGGGUCCCAGUACUCCCAACAGGAAGGUCUGGUCCAGGGACAGGGCUCUUCCCGACUCCCCUUAGCCACACGCACCAGAAGUUCUGCAGUGCCCAGUGGGCAUAGCAGUCCCCAAGAAUGACCCAGCACUGAAGCUGAGCCAAAGAACUUGGGGAGCGAGCCACACCCCCUCACUCCCUCUUCGCCUGCUCCAGACUUGCCAGGCGGUUGCUUUUCGUGGGAACCGGGAUGUCCUCACCACCCUGUCCAGGGCCCAGCCCCAUGUCCCUGGCCUGCUACAGCUGGAAAAAAAAAAGAGAGAUGUUUGUUUUUAUUUGUUUAUAAAAAGAAAAGUGUUAUAUAUAUAACAUAUUAUACCUCAUGAAUACAUACAAUUAUUUGUCAAUUAACAAUAAAGAAAAAUACAGCAAGCAAAAAAGACUCUCUUCCACAAAAAUAGUGUUCAUUACAGAAAAGUACAAAAAAAAAAAAAAAAAACUAAGAGGAUAUUUAGAAUUAAGAAAAAACUAAGAGGGUAUUUAGAAUUAAAAAAUAAAAAGAAAACAAUUACCCAUGAGGUAAUUACUGAAUGCAUUUGGUUGAAAGUCCUUCUGCUAUAUUUUCCAAACUGUAUGUGUAUAUAUGUGCGCAUGCAUAUAUGUGUUUGUGUGUGUGUACACAUAUCUAUAUGAAUGGACCAUAUCGUAAGUUAUAAAUGCAUACAUAUAUUCAUGUAUAUAUAAUCAUUAGAUCAUACUAUAGGUUAUUUUACAGUCUUUUUGUUGAAUACGUUGUGAGCAUUUUAUGUCAUUAUUUUCUACAAGAUUUGAAAAAUAAAGUAUAAAUACCAGUUAAUUUUUGAAAUCAACCUUAUUAAGGAAUAAGUUCCAUGCAGCAAAAUCCCUUUCACCUCUACUGUUCGAUGAGUUUUGACAAUGUAUGCAACCGUGACAUGUAUCACCACGAUCAAGAAAGAAAACAUCACCACAAAAUGUUCCCUAGAGCCCCUUGCAGGCAGUCUCUGACUUCCUGGCAGCCAGCAAUCUGAAUCCAACCACCGUAGAUCAGUUUCAAUUUAUUAAAAAAAAAUUUUAACUCAUGGAGUAUGAACUCUUGCUCGGGAUCCUGCUAUCUAUGUUGUUGAGUUUAUCAAUAGCCCAUUCCUUUUUACUGCUACGUGAUAUUUUAUCAUAUGCCUAUUGACAUUUGUUUACCCACUCACAUACUGAUGGACAAUUGAAUUGUUUGUGUUGUCUGUUUGUUUGUUUUUUGAGACAGGGUCUCACUGUCACCCAGGCUGGAGUGCAGUGGUGCAAUCUCGGCUCACUGCAACCUCUGCCUCCCAGGCUCAAGUGAUCCACCUCGGCCUCCCAAAGUGCUGAAAUUACAGGCGUGAGCCACUGUGCCUGGCCUGUUUCUGAUUUUUUAAAAUGUUUGCUAUUGUGACUAGAACUUUGUGAAUGCCAAUUAAUUUUUACAGUGUUUUAAUGAGCAAUGUCACCCGCACGUGCUGUGAAUGCCCACGCAUGUGGGCACAGCCUGUGUGUUUCCUUCCUGGAGCACUUGAGAUGGGGAAACCAAGAGAUGGGGGGUGAAGAAAGGAGCCAGAGGCCACACAGCUGGUUAGGAACAGGCUAGGGGAACCCAGCCUCUAAAUCCCAGUAUUCCAGGACAACAUGCUGCCAUACUCUCACAACACUUGCCUGUAUCAGAAAUGCUUGUAAUUUUCCCACACAGAGAAAUUUCCAUGAAAAUCAAGUUGUGGGCUGAGAGAUGAAAGGCAGCCUCAUGUUAAUUAGGCAGGCUUUGGUUUGGUCCGUCCACCAAGCUCAGGGGUGUGUGUGAAUAUCUCUAUUUUCAUACACACAUGCACACACGCACACACACACACACACACACACACGGACACGUCGCUCACACCCACCAACGCCAGUGGCGAUGAUCCAGUCCAGAUCUUUUCUAUACUGCCUUCAGAGCACGUGGCCAGACUGGCUUCUGACUUUACAGUCGUGGCACAUGCUGGCCCUGGACAGGAGGCCCUGGCUUGGCUUCUGAGCAUCCAUUCAGCAGACUUGUCUUAAAGGAUGUCUGAUUAUUUCCGCAAAUCAAAUCUCCCCUCAAGGACAAAGUUCAGGCUGCUGGGGAGAUUCAAAGGGAUGAUCUGUCUGCAAGACGGCUGCUUCCAAAAAGGUGUCACGGCGGCCUGGGAGUGGCUGUGCCCAACAGAAGGCAGGGGAAGAGGAGGUGCUCCUUGGAGUAUGGGCACCCUGGGUGUCUGUAGAGGAUUCUUGGGCCACUCUACCGUAGCUCAGCAUUGAAACAGAGACAAUGUUUGAUUUUGCUCACUUAUUAAUUAGCUCCUAGUUAUGUGUCCAAUGGGGCUAUUUCCAUGAUCUUAUUGAAUCCUAAAUAACUAUUAUCCUGCUUUUACAG
rnacentral:lncRNA from 1 species